rnacentral:rRNA from 1 species
UGGGGGAUUUUGCACAAUGGGCGCAAGCCUGAUGCAGCGACGCCGCGUGAGGGAUGAAGGCCUUCGGGUUGUAAAACUCUUUCGCUGGGUUGAAAGGCCAUGCUUUGGGUGUGGUUGAUUUGAACUGGUAAAGAAGUACCGGCUAACUACGUGCCAGCAGCCGCGGUAAUACGUAGGGUACUAGCGUUGGCCGGAUUUAUUGGGCGUAAAGGGCCUGUAGGUGGUUUGUCGCGUCUGUCGUGUAAUCCUGUGGCUUAACCAUGGGCUUGCGGUGGGUACGGGCAGGCUUGAGUGCGGUAGGGGAGACUGGAAUUCCUGGUGUAGCGGUGGAAUGCGCAGAUAUCAGGAGGAACACCGGUGGCGAAGGCGGGUCUCUGGGCCGUUACUGACACUGAGGAGCGAAAGCGUGGGGAGCGAACAGG